rnacentral:rRNA from 1 species
AACGAACGCUGGCGGCAUGCCUAACACAUGCAAGUCGAACGAGACCUUCGGGUGUAGUGGCGCAUGGGUGCGUAACGCGUGGGAAGCGUACCUUGGGGGCGGAAUAACUCCGAGAAAGGGGUGAUAAUAGGGGACAAUGGCUAAGGACGAACGAUGUAUUGCAUGUGGAGGGGCACGCGUGGAAGUCGCAAGUUGGUAGGGUAAAAGCCUGCCAAGGCGACGCUACAUAGCUGGUGUGAGAGCAGGACCAGCAACACUGGGAAUGAGACACGUCCGAGACUCCUACGGGAGGCAGCAGGGGUGAAUGUUGGACAACGGGCGAAUGCCUGAUGCAGCCAUGCCGUGUGAGUGUUUAAGGCCUUAGGGUUGUAAAGCUCUUUUACCCGGGAUGCUAAUGACAGUACCGGGCGAAUAAGCGCCGGCUAACUCCGUG